CAAUGGCUGCUUGUGAAUUCUC
rnacentral:siRNA from 1 species